UACGGGGGGGGCAAGCGUUGUUCGGAAUUACUGGGCGUAAAGGGCUCGUAGGCGGCCAACUAAGUCAGACGUGAAAUCCCUCGGCUUAACCGGGGAACUGCGUCUGAUACUGGAUGGCUUGAGUUCGGGAGAGGGAUGCGGAAUUCCAGGUGUAGCGGUGAAAUGCGCAGAUAUCAGGAGGAACACCGAUGGCGAAGGCAGCUCGCUGGGACGGUACUGACGCUGAGGCGCGAAAGCCAGGGGAGCAAACGGG
rnacentral:rRNA from 1 species